rnacentral:rRNA from 1 species
CCUACGGGAGGCAGCAGUGAGGAAUAUUGGUCAAUGGACGAGAGUCUGAACCAGCCAAGUCGCGUGAAGGAUGACUGUACAAUGGGUUGUAAACCUCUUUUAUAAAGGAAUAAAACGAGGCACGUGUGCCUUUUUGCGUGUACUUUAUGAAUAAGGAUCGGCUAACUCCGUGCCAGCAGCCGCGGUAAUACGGAGGAUCCGAGCGUUAUCCGGAUUUAUUGGGUUUAAAGGGAGCGUAGAUGGGUUGUUAAGUCAGUUGUGAAAGUUUGCGGCUCAACCGUAAAAUUGCAAUUGAUACUGGCAGUCUUGAGUACAGGUGAGGUAGGCGGAAUGCGUGGUGUAGCGGUGAAAUGCUUAGAUAUCACGAAGAACCCCGAUUGCGAAGGCAGCUUACUAAACUGUGACUGACAUUGAGGCUCGAAAGUGUGGGUAUCGAACAGGAUUAGAUACCCCUGUAGUC